AUUGAACGCUGGCGGCAUGCUUUACACAUGCAAGUCGAACGGUAACAGGGAGCUUGCUCCGCUGACGAGUGGCGAACGGGUGAGUAAUGCAUCGGAACGUACCCAGUCGUGGGGGAUAACGUAGCGAAAGUUACGCUAAUACCGCAUACGUCCUGAGGGAGAAAGCGGGGGACCGUAAGGCCUCGCGCGAUUGGAGCGGCCGAUGUCGGAUUAGCUAGUUGGUAGGGUAAAGGCCUACCAAGGCGACGAUCCGUAGCGGGUCUGAGAGGAUGAUCCGCCACACUGGGACUGAGACACGGCCCAGACUCCUACGGGAGGCAGCAGUGGGGAAUUUUGGACAAUGGGCGAAAGCCUGAUCCAGCCAUGCCGCGUGAGUGAAGAAGGCCUCGGUU
rnacentral:rRNA from 1 species